rnacentral:rRNA from 1 species
AGUUUGAUCAUGGCUCAGAUUGAACGCUGGCGGAAUGCUUUACACAUGCAAGUCGAACGGCAGCACGGGGGCAACCCUGGUGGCGAGUGGCGAACGGGUGAGUAAUAUAUCGGAACGUGCCCAGUCGUGGGGGAUAACGUAGCGAAAGCUACGCUAAUACCGCAUACGAUCUAUGGAUGAAAGCGGGGGAUCGCAAGACCUCGCGCGAUUGGAGCGGCCGAUAUCAGAUUAGGUUGUUGGUGGGGUAAAAGCCCACCAAGCCGACGAUCUGUAGCUGGUCUGAGAGGACGACCAGCCACACUGGGACUGAGACACGGCCCAGACUCCUACGGGAGGCAGCAGUGGGGAAUUUUUGGACAAUGGGCGCAAGCCUGAUCCAGCAAUGCCGCGUGCAGGAUGAAGGCCUUCGGGUUGUAAACUGCUUUUGUACGGAACGAAACGGCCCUGUCUAAUACGCGGGGCUAAUGACGGUACCGUAAGAAUAAGCACCGGCUAACUACGUG